AACGCGGCUCGCACUGGCUACUGAGUCUUCUCGGCCAACUCCACGGCUGCCUGAACGGAGCUGGCCAAGCGCAUCACCGAGCAUCUUGGUGCUUAACUGGGGAAGUCUAUUGUAUACCAAGAGACCAGUGGAGAAACAGGAGUUGAAAUAAAAGAAUCUGUUCGUGGCCAAGAUAUUCUCAUUAUACAGACAAUACUCAGAGAUGUGAAUACAGCUGUGAUGGAGUUACUACUGAUCAUGGCUUAUGCACUGAAGACUGCCUGUGCCAGGAAUAUUAUUGGAGUCAUCCCUUAUUUCCCCUACAGCAAGCAGAGCAAGAUGAAGAAGAGGGGUUCCAUUGUGUGCAAACUUUUAGCAUCCAUGCUGGCAAAAGCAGGUUUAACUCACAUUAUCACUAUGGAUCUUUAUCAAAAGGAAAUACAAGGCUUUUCAGCUUUCCCGUGGACAACCUUAGAGCCUCACCUUUCCUGCUUCAGUAUAUCCAGGAUGAAAUUCCAAAUUACAGAACUGCUGUCAUUGUAGCUAAGUCUCCUGAUGCUGCAGAGGGCCCAGUCCUAUGCUGAGACACUGUGUUUGGGUUUGCUGUCAUCCACGGGGAAGCUCAGUGCACGGAACUAGACAUGGAUGAUGGGCGACAUUCUCCCCCUAUGGUCAAAAACGCCACUGUGCACCCAGGCCUAGAGUUGCCAUCGAUGAUGGCCAAAGAGAAGCCACCGAUAACUGUAGUCGGAGAUGUUGGAGGCCGCAUCGCGAUCAUGGUGGAUGACAUUAUUGACGAUGUGGAGAGUUUUGUUGCUGCCACGGAGAUCCUGAAGGAAAGAGGUGCUUACAAGAUCUCUGUCAUGGCCACCCAUGGCAUCCUGUCUGCAGAAGCCCUCCGUCUGAUGGAGGAGUCCUCCAUUGAUGAGGUGGUGGUGACGAAUACUGUCCCGCAUGAGGUACAGAAGCUGCAGUGUCCCAAGAUAAAGACUGUGGAUAUCAGUUUAAUUCUUUCAGAAAAAAUUUGGAGAAUCCACAAUGGAGAGUCCAUGGCCUACCUUUUCCGACACAUCACUGUGGAUGACUAGUUACACAUUUGCCAUGACCCUGGAACUCCUAAGACAUCAUGAAAAAGCAGUGCCAUCAAUUAUGUACAGUGUUUCCUUGCAGGGAGGACUGGAAAUAGUCUGGAGUUAGAUAUUCUGUCUUACCAGGAUGGGUGGGUAGGAGGCAUUAAGGUAGU